rnacentral:rRNA from 1 species
AUGGAGCCUAGAAAGACGAAUGGCAAAAAGGAGUUCAUGAUAGAGUAUCAUCCCAUAUCCGUCGUCGAGAAAGGCACUCCGUCGGUGGAUGAGGCGCGCUUCAUCAGAAAAUAUAUCUUGGCGGCUUUUAUAGAGCACACCUUCAACCUUUUAUUUGUGGCGACUCUUGCCGGCUAUAUCUAUCUGAUGUUUGGUGCCCUCAUGUACUGCAAACUGUUGUAUGCGGUCUUUGCAAUUCUUCUUAUGUCGCCAUACUUUAUAGUGAUGCUCCAUGCGUUACCCUUAUUGAAGGGGUUUUACAAAGAGAGGUAUGCCACGUAG